UCUCAACGCUUUUUAAAUUAUAGCCGAACGGUAUUUAAUUUUAUGACGCGAACUGUUCGGUGCAUCUUCUUCACCUGAACGAUUUUUUGUGUUGUUCACGUUGUUUGGAUUGUUCGGACUUUAGGAGAGGAAACUGGAAAACGGCAACGGAUUUGGUAUCUGAUUCGCUGAAAUAAAAACGAAUCCUCUUCAUCGCGGCAGCAGUAAACAUUUUAUUGAGUUUUCGCAGCGCAAAAAGUGCAACGCUUUCCCAGGUGGAAGAUGCAGCUGUGAAGGCUAUCUCAUAACAGUGCUCCAGCAUCGGGGAACAUUUUCAUAGAUCACAGCGCUGAGAUGACCCAUAAAAAUUGGAAAAUCCUGAGCCAACAAUCAUUAGUUGCCAUCAUUAGGCCUCGGUACAUCCUGGUAAACCGACCGCUCUAUAAUCAAUAUUUCGGACGCUUGGUCAUUAUUCGGAUGCUUUCUCAAACUGGACUAAAUAAUUCGAAGUUUUACAUGCAAGCAGCUCUAACACCACCCCUUCGACCUCUGUCUGCUGACAGUUCGGUGCUUCGGUGAUGAGGUCCAGUGAUUUGACUCCUGCCAAUUAUUUCAUUAGCUUCCCCACUCAACGACGACCACAGAGAGAAAGAACGGGCAUCAAUCGGUUCUCUUGAGAAUGCGAAGGACAAAUUCACAUUUAUACCUGUCGUCG